rnacentral:rRNA from 1 species
UACGUAGGGUGCAGGCGUUAAUCGGAAUUACUGGGCGUAAAGCGCGCGCAGGUGGUCUUUCAAGUCAGUGGUGAAAGCCCGGAGCUCAACUCCGGAAAUGCCAUUGAAACUGUAAGACUUGAGGAUGAGAGAGGUGAGUGGAAUUCCCAGUGUAGAGGUGAAAUUCGUAGAUAUUGGGAAGAACACCGGUGGCGAAGGCGGCUCACUGGCUCAUAUCUGACGCUCAGGCGCGACAGCGUGGGGAUCAAACAGG